AGAGUUUGAUCAUGGCUCAGGAUGAACGCUAGCGGUAGGCUUAACACAUGCAAGUCGAGGGGUAACAGAUUAGUUUACUAAUGCUGACGACCGGCGCACGGGUGCGUAACGCGUAUGCAAUCUGCCCUGUACAGAAGAAUAGCCCUGAGAAAUUGGGAUUAAUGCUUCAUGGUAUUUAGAUGUGGCAUCACAUUUAGAUUAAAACUCCGGUGGUACAGGAUGGGCAUGCGUAUGAUUAGCUAGAUAGUGAGGUAACGGCUCACCAUGGCUACGAUCAUUAGGGGUCCUGAGAGGGUGAUCCCCCACACUGGUACUGAGACACGGACCAGACUCCUACGGGAGGCAGCAGUGAGGAAUAUUGGGCAAUGGAGGCAACUCUGACCCAGCCAUACCGCGUGAAGGAAGACUGUCCUAUGGAUUGUAAACUUCUUUUAUAUACGAGGAAUAAGGAUUACGUGUAAUCUGAUGACAGUAGUAUAUGAAUAAGGACCGGCUAACUCCGUGCCAGCAGCCGCGGUAAUACGGAGGGUUCAAGCGUUAUCCGGAUUUAUUGGGUUUAAAGGGUCCGUAGGCGGGCCAAUAAGUCAGUGGUGAAAUCCUGCAGCUCAACUGUAGAACUGCCAUUGAAACUGUUGGUCUUGAAUUAUUUGGAAGUAGGCGGAAUGAGUAGUGUAGCGGUGAAAUGCAUAGAUAUUACUCAGAACACCGAUUGCGAAGGCAGCUUACUACGAAUAGAUUGACGCUGAUGGACGAAAGCGUAGGUAGCGAACAGGAUUAGAUACCCUGGUAGUCUACGC
rnacentral:rRNA from 1 species